UCAGGACAUAAAUAUAAGCCGGAUAAUACAAACAACUGUUUAAAAUUCAAAGAUCUUGGCGGUGCUUCAUAUACUCAGGGGAACCUGUCCCUUAAUUCGAUAAUCCACGAGUUCUUUACCCUCUUUUGAUAAUCCAGCCUGUGUACUGCCGUCGCAAGUAUGCCUCUAAAAGCUAGCAUACAAUAUUAUAUUCAUAUACACGUCAGGUCAAAGUGCAGCUAAUAAGAGGGCGGAGAUGGGUUACACUCUUUAACUAGACACCAACACCUAUUAAAAAUAUAGACUAAAGCUGGACUUGAUAGUAAUAAAUAUUAUAUACAUUUAUGAACAAUAAUCUGAAGCAUGCACACAUCGCCCGUCACUCUCGUCUAAAGAUG
rnacentral:rRNA from 1 species